GUCGUGAGAUGUUGGGUUAAGUCCCGUAACGAGCGCAACCCUUGUCCUUAGUUACCAGCACCUCGGGUGGGCACUUUAAGGAGACUGCCGGUGACAAACCGGAGGAAGGUGGGGAUGACGUCAAGUCAUCAUGGCCCUUACGGCCAGGGCUACACACGUGCUACAAUGGUCGGUACAGAGCGUCGCCAAGCCGCGAGGUGGAGCUAAUCGCACAAAACCGAUCGUAGUCCGGAUCGCAGUCUGCAACUCGACUGCGUGAAGUCGGAAUCGCUAGUAAUCGUGAAUCAGAAUGUCACGGUGAAUACGUUCCCGGGCCUUGUACACACCGCCCGUCACACCAUGGGAGUGGGUUGCUCCAGAAGUAGCUAGUCUAACCCUCGGGAGGACGGUUACCACGGAGUGAUUCAUGACUGGGGUGAAGUCGUAACAAGGUAGCCGUAGGGGAACCUGCGGCUGGAACACCUCCUUGGAUCCGCC
rnacentral:rRNA from 1 species